AAGGCGACCAACAGAGUCAUCCAGACAGGAGACAUCGGGAGCCUGUGUGAGGGGCUGAAUGACUGCAGCACCGUCUGUCAGCUCCAGACCUCUUCCAAAAUUGCGCGGAUUGUGUGCAGAAGCUUCUCCCUGGAACACACCGUAGAUUUCAUGAUGGCCAUCAAGGACACCUUCCGGAAGGCCAAAGGAAUGCGUGUGCGUGCUGCUGGCAAGUGGAUGAUCACCUUCCUGCAGAUGUAUGGAAAGGACAUCUGUCGGGAUCUUGAUCUUUCACCGAUCAUCUACAUCCUGCGCAGCUGCAUGUCGUCCCUGCAGCACAGCACGUUCAUGCCAUUCCUGUGCCAGGCGGUGGCCAUCCUCACCCGCUGUCACGCAAACAUCACAAUGGACAGCUUCUUCCACCAGCUGUGAGCCCUCAGACAGGUACUGGCCUUUGCUCCUGCCUUUGCUGUUGCUGCGGUCCCAGCUGUAGCUUGCCUCUGCCAGAGGGAUCCUGGGAGGAAGCAGCAUGGUGCAAAUUACUCAGUCAUGACUUGAGACACCCGUUUUCUAGCGAGGCAUGGAGGAGAAUAAGAGAGUUUUCUCUUCAGUGGUGCAUCAGGGAGAAGAAAAAAGAGAAGAGAAGAGAAGAGAAGAGAAGAGAAGAGAAGAGAAGAGAAGAGAAGAGAAGAGAAGAGAAGAGAAGAGAAGAGAAGAGAAGAGAAGAGAAGAGAAGAGAAGAGAAGAGAAGAGAAGAGAAGAGAAGAGAAGAGAAGAGAAGAGAAGAGAAGAGAAGAGAAGAGAAGAGAAGAGAAGAGAAGAGAAGAGAAGAGAAGAGAAGAGAAAGGAGGGAAAAGGAAAGAAGAGAAAAGAGGGAAAAGGGAAGAAGAGAAAAAAGGGAAAAGGAAAGAAGAAGGAGAGGGAAAUGGAAAUGGAGG
ensembl:lncRNA